AGAGUUUGAUCCUGGCUCAGGACGAACGCUGGCGGCGCGCCUAACACAUGCAAGUCGAACGAGAGAUGAGGAGCUUGCUCUUCAAAUCGAGUGGCGAACGGGUGAGUAACGCGUGAGGAACCUGCCUCAAAGAGGGGGACAACAGUUGGAAACGACUGCUAAUACCGCAUAAGCCCACGGCUCGGCUUCGAGCAGAGGGAAAAGGAGUGAUCCGCUUUGAGAUGGCCUCGCGUCCGAUUAGCUAGUUGGUGAGGUAACGGCCCACCAAGGCAACGAUCGGUAGCCGGACUGAGAGGUUGAACGGCCACAUUGGGACUGAGACACGGCCCAGACUCCUACGGGAGGCAGCA
rnacentral:rRNA from 1 species